GACGAACGCUGGCGGCGUGCUUAACACAUGCAAGUCGAACGGAAAGGCCCUGCUUUUGUGGGGUGCUCGAGUGGCGAACGGGUGAGUAACACGUGAGUAACCUGCCCUUGACUUUGGGAUAACUUCAGGAAACUGGGGCUAAUACCGGAUAGGAGCUCCUGCUGCAUGGUGGGGGUUGGAAAGUUUCGGCGGUUGGGGAUGGACUCGCGGCUUAUCAGCUUGUUGGUGGGGUAGUGGCUUACCAAGGCUUUGACGGGUAGCCGGCCUGAGAGGGUGACCGGCCACAUUGGGACUGAGAUACGGCCCAGACUCCUACGGGAGGCAGCAGUGGGGAAUAUUGCAUAAUGGGCGGAAGCCUGAUGCAGCAACGCCGCGUGCGGGAUGACGGCCUUCGGGUUGUAAACCGCUUUCGCCUGUGACGAAGCGUGAGUGACGGUAAUGGGGAAAGAAGCACCGGCUAACUACGU
rnacentral:rRNA from 1 species